UGAUUGAAUCAGAGACCACAUCUCUGGUCAAAGCAUAAAUACUCUGGGGCUCACUCAAGCACUCCAAUCAAGAAGGACUACAGUUUUAACAGCAAAAAGCACUUCACAUCUGAGGAUGAACAGGGUUGAUCUGGAUGAUCUGAGCGCUACAUUUUAAUGUAGCAGCUUCUCCAGGCACUGGCACGGCUUGCGCUGGUACUGUGUGUAGCGUCAAGGUGCUACAUGAAGGGUACUGAGAAACUGGAGUGUGCCCAGAGGGGGGCGACAAGGCUGCUGCAAUACCUCAACAUCACCUCAUGUUGAAAGAACUAGCAAAGAAUUGGAAACGGAGGGGAUGCCCAUCAAC